AUGGAUCCCACCAGCUGUGCAUCUGCCGAACUGACAUUCAGCUCUCCAAACUGCACUUUUUCAAAAAGAUUCAGCUACCAAAUGACGUACUCUGGAACAGAUCCCCAGUCUGUAGUGGGAAAACAGCAUGAAUUAGCACAAUCUUCGAAUCACUCAGACUUACCCCAGCAUCAAGGAAUUCUUUUGACAGACAGAACAGCAUGGAGCUCUUGCCCUGGAAGACUGACUGGUAUCCUCUGAUUCUCUGCAGCUCCUAGGACUCAAGAGGUUAGCAGUGCAUUGCUGUUACUGUUAUACAAACCAGAAAAACAACAUGUACCAAUCAAUCUCUGCCUCAGGACGCAUACAAGCUGAAGAGAAUCAUCUGAAUAUGGUUUAGAGGUGCUUGCCAGACUU
rnacentral:lncRNA from 1 species